rnacentral:sRNA from 1 species
UUGAUAACUCUAAAGAUUGAGGUCCACUGUUUAUCCAUAAAUAUGUCAAGUACACAGUCUCAACUAAUAUACUUCAAACCUGACCUAGAGGGACUACCUCAAGGGUAAAAUGGUAAUUUAAUCUCUAUGCUCACUCAAAUCCUUUACUCCU